UACGGAGGGUGCGAGCGUUGUCCGGAAUCAUUGGGCGUAAAGGGCGCGUAGGUGGCCCGGUGAGUCUUUGGUGAAAGCGCGGGGCUCAACCCUGCGUCGGCCAGGGAUACUGCCGCGGCUCGAGCACUGUAGAGGCAGGCGGAAUUCCGGGUGUAGCGGUGGAAUGCGUAGAGAUCCGGAAGAACACCGGUGGCGAAGGCGGCCUGCUGGGCAGUGGCUGACGCUGAGGCGCGGCAGCGUGGGGAGCAAACAGG
rnacentral:rRNA from 1 species